UCGUCCGUACACCUUCACAGCAAGGGCGGUAUCCUGGCAAAGGCCUGUGACUACAUUCAGGAAUUGCGUGCAAGCUGUGCACGACUGCCUGAGGUACUGAAGGAGAACGAGCGGCUGGCUUUGGAUUUGGAUUUGCUGCGACAACAGUGUGAACAGCUCAGGGCCACCAAUCAGCUUCUGAAGGCCCACCUAGAGCAAAGUGGUAUCACUGUCACCGAAGUUGAACACACGUCCUAACAAGAGCUCCUUGGCAGACUAAAGAAGCACGUCUAUGAAGAUAAAUAAAGCACCCAAGUGAUACGUCAUUAUCCAGCUUUAGUGAGUGAGAAGCAAACGUUGGCUGUGCAGGACAAGUAGGCUGACGAAAUCCGGGACAUAGACCAUAGACAAGCAUGUUUGCAAGUCGUGACCCGUGGCAAAGCAUCUCCCACUUCCCGCAAUGUUGCGGAUUCCCUGGACUCCUUUCCCCACGCUUGGCCUUUUAGGAAGGACAGGAUUACAUAGACAGCUUCUGGUGGUUCAACGUGCCUGACCUGCAACCACCUUCCUUUUGUGUGCAUCAAAAGAACUCUCUUGCAAAGUGGUUGAUUCUUCACUUCCUUUUUUUAUGGAUGCCACGUCCCUGGCGCAUUUGCUCUGCGCAUCACAGUGACUUGUCUUGAUACGAAAAAGAAACGCAUCUUUUUUUUUCUCUCUCUUGGGUGAAACCUUGCUUCCAACCCGUUCAAAUGUUCGUGGUUGCAGGGGUUGGGAGUUACAGUUGUGUGUGUAUGCAUGGAUCAAUGUAAUUUGCCUUUUUGCCUUCGUGGCACUGCCUCAUUGAUAAAUUUGAAAUCGCCGUGCUAUGAGUGAUUUCGCAUGCACGACACAAUUAUAUGUUGUUGUUUUUUUUCCGUGCCAGUUUGAGUUGUAGCUUUUUCAUGCAGUUUGUUACAGAACAUCUUAAUGCAAAAGGCCUGUUAGGUAGCUUACCAUAUUUUCAUGGCUUCUGAGAUGUUCAGAAUUUUAUAAGAAAAGGCUGGAGCUUCGUUAGGCUUCGUUAAGGCAACGUGUGAUGCAGUGUCAUAGAAGCACAGUACCUGUUUGCACAUUGCAUCUAAGUUCCCCGUCUGACGUGUUCGAAGAGUUUAGUUCCGGGUGCCUUUGCGUUUGUACUGGUGUACUGAAAGGGAUGCUGGCAUCUAGUCAUUGCUCUAAUUUGUGCCUGCACGAGUUCGUUUUAUCGAUAGUAUUUGUACAGAAGUUGAAGUCAUGGUGGUGAACUCUGAGAACACUACAAUUGACUGUUCACUGUUGUCUUUGUCACUUUUUUUUUCACACUGUGCUGCUUUUUUUUUUUGUUUAAAAGAGUCGCUGAAUCUUCAAAGUAUGUAUGUUCAUGCCACUCUGUUCUCUUAAAUAAAGUGCUAGCGUGAAUGAAAUAAAGCCACUUGGCAUAUGUAAGGACCUUCUGCAUUGGGCUCCAAGUCGCCUGGCUCUUCGAGAUAGUUUUUGUAUCAGAUAGUGCAAAUGCACCAGCAUUGUCUCUUUAAAUGCUCUGUGAGGGCACAUUGUGCAUGCAUGUGUGGACUGUUUGAUCAGUGGCUUUGGUACCGCCAUCUCAGUCUAUUUUAGAAAGCAUUUGUACAACAAGCCGAAUGGUUGGUACAUUUGUAGCUUGUGAAUCAUAGGCAAGUCUUGCGGUAAUUCACUGAGGCAUGUGUUGGCCUUAAACCCACCUUGAAAGGGCCACGGUUGGAACAGCUUUGUGAAUUGUUUUAUCAUUGCUUCGGUGUACUUGCACACGCUCACGCUGCUACACCAGGUGAUGUGGAUGGGAAAAGCAGAGGCUUCGAUUAUGCAACAAUGUGUUGAAAUGAAAGCCACUUGUGUUACAAGACACUUCAGUUGGUUGAGAGGCUCUUUUUCCAUGUCCAUCCAACGUAGUUGGUCAUGGCAAGAAGAUUUCAGCGCAGUUUUUGUUUAGAAGCGCUGUGACGGGUUGCCUUCACCUAUGCUGCUUUUCCUGCCUAUAUUCUCCCGCAUUUCACUUUACGUUAAUGCAUCUAUGCUACUAUGGUAAGUGCUGUCAGCAGAUCCUGCACAGAGCUUCAUCGAAUGAUGUGACUGACAUGCAAAACUUUUGGCAGCACAGUAAGGAAUAAGUGGGCACUUAUUAUUUUUUUUUUUAUGUUGAUAUAGUGAGAGAAGCAUUGGCUGGAAAAGCAUUUUUGUACGACCUAUAUUAGGUAGUACAGUCUUGUCGUGAGCAUGUCUUCUAUUUUUUUUCUCCGCCACUGUUGUCUGUUUAACAGGUUUACCUUUCUGUUUGAGAAGGAACCUUUGUGGAUGUAGGCUUGUUUGCAAGCAUUUCACUGUUUGCUUUCUAUGGGCAUGUGGCUGGUGUAAGGCUGUUUGUUGUACUUUGGUCACUCUUGUGUCGUGACAUUGAUGCUUUCAAGCCUUGUUUUGUUCUUUUUUUCUGUGCUAGUGCAACACAUUGUUUUCAGAAAAAAAUGUCAAUAAAUGAAACAUGGUGGACUAAA